ACGCUGGCGGCAGGCCUAACACAUGCAAGUCGAGCGGUAGCACGGGAGAGCUUGCUCUCUGGGUGACGAGCGGCGGACGGGUGAGUAAUGUCUGGGAAACUGCCUGAUGGAGGGGGAUAACUACUGGAAACGGUAGCUAAUACCGCAUGACCUCGCAAGAGCAAAGUGGGGGACCUUCGGGCCUCACGCCAUCGGAUGUGCCCAGAUGGGAUUAGCUAGUAGGUGGGGUAAUGGCUCACCUAGGCGACGAUCCCUAGCUGGUCUGAGAGGAUGACCAGCCACACUGGAACUGAGACACGGUCCAGACUCCUACGGGAGGCAGCAGUGGGGAAUAUUGCACAAUGGGCGCAAGCCUGAUGCAGCCAUGCCGCGUGUGUGAAGAAGGCCUUAGGGUUGUAAAGCACUUUCAGCGAGGAGGAAGGCGUUGUAGUUAAUAGCUGCAGCGAUUGACGUUACUCGCAGAAGAAGCACCGGCUAACUCCGUGCCAGCAGCCGCGGUAAUACGGAGGGUGCAAGCGUUAAUCGGAAUUACUGGGCGUAAAGCGCACGCAGGCGGUUUGUUAAGUCAGAUGUGAAAUCCCCGAGCUUAACUUGGGAACUGCAUUUGAAACUGGCAAGCUAGAGUCUUGUAGAGGGGGGUAGAGCUCCAGGUGUAGCGGUGAAAUGCGUAGAGAUCUGGAGGAAUACCGGUGGCGAAGGCGGCCCCCUGGACAAAGACUGACGCUCAGGUGCGAAAGCGUGGGGAGCAAAC
rnacentral:rRNA from 1 species